UUUAGCCUCUAGCCACAUUUUUACUCUCUCAUAAGGAAAACCACUUGUUUAGUUGCUACAGCCUACAGCCUCUGGUUUUCUCUAUAAAAAACACUCACUCCCCAAAACACACUUAUCCUAUUUCCAAAUCCCUAGGUCCACAACACCAAGAGCAACGUUUUUCAUAAUCGGUGAUUCCGAAACAAAAAGCAGUUAGGAUGAGUAACUUGAUCCGUUUUUGGAUGGCCAGAACCGUGGCUGGAACGCAGAGCAACUCUCACUCUCUAAACAGCAAACACAACCAGAUGAGGUUCUUGUUCGCCGGAGAAUCGCCAGCGCCAGAGCUCGUUCCCAUCGGAAACGAGACUAACAGUCUUCGGGUUGGACAAGCUGACGACUCCCUCCGCAAAGUUAUGUACUUGAACAUUUGGGGUCUGGGCUGAGCUGACUCACUGCUUCACUCGUUCGUAACUCGAAUGUUUUUAGGUUUGGUCGUGUAAAUUGUAAAUUAUAUACAUAGACAAUAACUUAGCAGUAUCUUGUAAUUUUGUAAAAAUUGAAUGCAAAUAUAACAGAGUUGUGAAGGAUCAAGUGAUUCAAUAAUUGACUUGACUUUAUAAUUCAGUUUAUCAUUAACAAUAAUUUAACCAAUUUAUUUUUUAGUAAAUAUCCAACACAAAUUUUCUAAUCAUUCAUUAUCUGAGAUAUAUAAUUUAUUUUUCUAAUGAUG
rnacentral:lncRNA from 1 species